CUCUUUAUGGGGGGUGACUGCGUACCUUUUGUAUAAUGGGUCAGCGACUUAUAUUCUGUAGCAAGGUUAACCGCAUAGGGGAGCCGAAGGGAAACCGAGUCUUAAUUGGGCGUUAAGUUGCAGGGUAUAGACCCGAAACCCGGUGAUCUAGCCAUGGGCAGGUUGAAGGUUGGGUAACACUAACUGGAGGACCGAACCGACUAAUGUUGAAAAAUUAGCGGAUGACCUGUGGCUGGGGGUGAAAGGCCAAUCAAACCGGGAGAUAGCUGGUUCUCCCCGAAAGCUAUUUAGGUAGCGCCUCGUGAACUCAUCUCCGGGGGUAGAGCACUGUUUCGGCUAGGGGGCCAUCCCGGCUUACCAACCCGAUGCAAACUGCGAAUACCGGAGAAUGUUAUCACGGGAGACACACGGCGGGUGCUAACGUCCGUCGUGAAGAGGGAAACAACCCAGACCGCCAGCUAAGGUCCCAAAGUCAUGGUUAAGUGGGAAACGAUGUGGGAAGGCCCAGACAGCCAGGAUGUUGGCUUAGAAGCAGCCAUCAUUUAAAGAAAGCGUAAUAGCUCACUGGUCGAGUCGGCCUGCGCGGAAGAUGUAACGGGGCUAAACCAUGCAC
rnacentral:rRNA from 1 species